rnacentral:rRNA from 2 species
GUGUUCGGGUUGUCAUGCCAAUGGCACUGCCCGGUAGCUAAAUGCGGAAGAGAUAAGUGCUGAAAGCAUCUAAGCACGAAACUUGCCCCGAGAUGAGUUCUCCCUGAGACUUUAGGUCUCCUGAAGGAACGUUGAAGACGACGACGUUGAUAGGCCGGGUGUGUAAGCGCAGCGAUGCGUUGAGCUAACCGGUACUAAUGAACCGUGAGGCUUAACCUUACAACGCCGAAG